rnacentral:rRNA from 1 species
GACGAACGCUGGCGGCGUGCUUAACACAUGCAAGUCGAACGGUGAAGCGCUUGCCUUUUUGGUGGGUGUGGAUGAGUGGCGAACGGGUGAGUAACACGUGAGUAACCUGCCCUCUUCUUCUGGAUAACCUCAUGAAAGUGGGGCUAAUACGGGGUAUUCCGGGUCUGUCGCAUGGCGGGUUUGGGAAAGAUUGCGCCUUUGGGUGUUUUCGGUGGGGGAUGGGCUCGCGGCCUAUCAGCUUGUUGGUGGGGUGAUGGCCUACCAAGGCGGUGACGGGUAGCCGGCCUGAGAGGGUGGACGGCCACACUGGGACCGAGGCACGGCCCAGACGCCUGCGGGAGGCAGCAGUGGGGAAUAUUGCACAAUGGGCGCAAGCCUGAUGCAGCGACGCCGCGUGAGGGAUGGAGGCCUUCGGGUGGUGAACCUCUUUCGCCAGUGAAGCAGGCCUGCUCCUGUGUGGGUGGGUUGACGGUAGCUGGAUAAGAAGCGCCGGCUAACUACGUG